rnacentral:tRNA from 1 species
GCCUUCAUGGUGUAGCGGUCAGCGCGCUCGGCGAGUAUUUCGAGAGGUCCGGGGUUCGAGUCCCGGCGAGAGCA